rnacentral:rRNA from 1 species
CCUACGGGAGGCAGCAGUGGGGAAUAUUGCACAAUGGGGGAAACCCUGAUGCAGCGACGCCGCGUGGGUGACGAAGUAUUUCGGUAUGUAAAGCCCUAUCAGCAGGGAAGAAGAUGACAGUACCUGACCAAGAAGCCCCGGCUAACUACGUGCCAGCAGCGGCGGUAAUACGUAGGGGGCAAGCGUUAUCCGGAUUUACUGGGUGUAAAGGGAGCGUAGGUGGCAUGGCAAGCCAGAAGUGAAAACCCGGGGCUUAACCCCGCGGAUUGCUUUUGGAACUGUCAGGCUGGAGUGCAGGAGGGGCAGGCGGAAUGCCUGGUGUAGCGGUGAAAUGCGUAGAUAUCAGGAGGAACACCGGUGGCGAAGGCGGCCUGCUGGACUGUAACUGACACUGAGGCUCGAAAGCGUGGGGAGCAAACAGGAUUAGAUACCCUUGUAGUC